CCGGGCCGUACGCGGCCGGUUAUCAUUUUAAAUUCAUUACCGUGCAACCCAAUUGCGCGGGUUCGGAGAGUCGCACGAACCAAUAACUCUUUGCUUCAUCCAACGGCGGGAUAAUGGUCGCACGGGCCAACUUCGCUCUCUGACACGCACCAAUGCUGUUAAGUUAUUGCUGUCUAGCUCGGAAUCGGACUCGCGAUAAACCGAUUUCCAACGAUCGGGAACAUUCCGCGGAAUAAAAGAUCGUUUAGUGGAUGCAAAAAAACAUAAAAAAGAAAGGAAACGAGGAGACACAUCGUAAAAAGGGCGAUUACGAUGUUCGUAUUCGCUGAGGCGGAAUAUUCAUGCUGGAGAAUGGAAGUUUAAAUGUUGAACGUUGGACACGUUCGACCGGAAAUAAGAUGCCACAGCCUGACGAUUUGAUGAUUCUCGAUCACGCUCGAUCCUACUCAAUUUAUACCUUCGGAAAAGUUGAAAAUUGGAUCGGGCUCGGUGAACGGGUAAACCUCGCUACGAAUUGUAAUAAGCUUCGACGUGUAUCUGGAUAUUAUUGUACGAAUAUAGAUAGAUUUAACGAACGAGUUAACGUAGUAAGAGUACUUAUUUCCGAAACUGCAGCUAGCCUGAUACGACUGACAACUGCUGGCGAAGUUAAUGUCUGAGAUGAACCGUCUGAACGGAAAAUUAAUAAAAGCAACGAGACAGUAAACUGCAGUAAUAUCGAAUGCCUGACGUCUCUUCGUCAGAAGUGGAAAAAAUACAGAGAUAUUUGAAGAUGACGACGACAUGCACGCAUUCGCACAAAACUCACAAAGUUAACAUCUGAGUUGUAAAUGUAUGAUCGAAUAAAAUUGACUGUAUAUGUAAAAUCAACUGCACCAAGGCAGAAAAAUGCGACAAACGACUGAUGCAAUCGAGCGAUUCACGUUUCUUCGUUUCAGCAAAAAUGUUUGCAGAUGAUGAUAUCUAAAUACUAAUAUUUGGAUAAAACUGAAUUUAACGCCGAACGUACGUUGUAGAAGCUUCCUUGAUAUAAUUCAUUGAUAAAAUUAAUAUCUAAAGUGCGUAUCUCGUCGACUCGCAACGAGGCGGAAGACUGCAACAAGAGCUAACGCAAUCGAGUGACUUGCGUUUCUUCGUUUCAGCGAAGAAAAUACGGAGAUGUUUGAUGCCACCUUAAACCUUUCUCGAGAACAAACAAGAUAGUUUAUCGCCGCGCGGAUAUAAACGCUUCUCUCGACAGAGUCGCGGAAAUUGUACGCUUAAAGGCAAGCACUGUACGUUACUGGCUUUCUUCGAGUUCUACACGGUCCGUGGUUUCGAAGCAAACUCGCACAUUUACUUUCGGCCUGUCUGUCUGGAGAUUUUCGUGCUGCAUAUAAUGUCUUGAGCAUGUAACGGCUGCUACGAACACUAACUCAAUCGUUCUCCUAUGUACAGGUCGUAUCUGUAUUCAUUUCAGAACUCCUAAUCGCUUUAAAGCUGUCUACAACUAAACCGAGUCAAUUAUCCUGUCAACUCUCUACUCUGAAUCCUCUUACCUGAUGGAAAUUAUAGCGCUACAUUUGGUAACACCGAGCGAGAUUCAUCUUUAAAGCCAACGAGACAAAUUUUUAUCGUUUCGUAAAUCUAACUUCAGAAGCUAAUUCACUUCGAUCGAUGUCCAGACAUCGAUGAAAAAGCGUACUUCCGUUCGUCACGCCAAAAACGAAACGGUGGAACCAUUUAUUUCGCUCGCCAGACCCGACACAGUGGUUUAAUUUAUCUCGACAGGCGGUCUUGCAGGGAGACAAACACAAAAGCACGCACGGAAAGCUAACGACGGAAAUUAUUAUCGUUUCGUCGUAGUCGAACGUAAGUAGAUUUACUCGACAACGCUGUUUAAUCUUAAUUGUAGACUACAUUGCCGAAACUGCAGAGAGGAAGCAAUCAGAUUCGAAAAAAUAUUACGAAAUACGUGUUGGAGCACGGUUCUUUGUUCUUCGAAUUGAAGACCACGAUUACAAUAUUCACGUUUCAAAAAUUAUCCGCAAUUGAUUUGCAAUUAUUAACGUGCAGUCUUACUGAAAAUUUUUACCUGUGAAAUUUUCAUUGUCAUCGUAAUAUUCACAUACAUUCUUUUUGAGGCGUUUCACGAUAUCAACGUUAUCCUUUUAAUCAGCAUAUGCGCAGCUUAAUUUGCUUUCAAAUAAAUUGAGAGAUACGACCUA